UGAAUACGAGACGCUAAGGCGUCGAAGUAGUGUAUGUCAUACUUCCAAGAAAAGCUUGCACUGUCAUAGAUAAAAAACGCCUGUACCAUAACCGACACAGGUGGGUAGGUAGAGUAUACUAAGGGGCGCGAGAUAACUCUCUCUAAGGAACUCGGCAAAAUAACUCCGUAACUUCGGGAGAAGGAGUGCCUUAUUCUUAAGGUUGCAAUAACAAGAUCCAAGCAACUGUUUAUCAAAAACACAGGUCUCCGCUAAGUCGUAAGACGAUGUAUGGGGGCUGACGCCUGCCCAGUGCCAGAAGGUUAAAGAAGCUGGUUAGCAUUUGCGAAGCUAGUAACUGAAGCCCUGGUGAACGGCGGCCGUAACUAUAACGGUCCUAAGGUAGCGAAAUUCCUUGUCGGGUAAGUUCCGACCCGCACGAAAGGCGUAAUGAUUUGGAUACUGUCUCGGAGAGGGGCUCGGUGAAAUAGACUUGUCUGUGAAGAUGCGGACUACCUGCACCAGGACAGAAAGACCCUAUGAAGCUUUACUGUAACUUGAAAUUGAAAUUGGACUUUAUUCGCGCAGUAUAGGUGGGAGGCGUUGAUUAUAAUCUUGCGGGAUUAUUGGAGCCAUUAGUGAGAUACCACUCUUGUAAUGUUAGAUUUCUAACUUUGAAUCAUUAUCUGGUCAAAGAACAGUUUCAGGCGGGCAGUUUGACUGGGGCGGUCGCCUCCUAAACGGUAACGGAGGCGUACAAAGGUUUCCUCUGAACGGUUAGAAAUCGUAUCUAGAGUGUAAAGGCAUAAGGAAGCUUGACUGUGAGACCUACAAGUCGAGCAGGGACGAAAGUCGGUCUUAGUGAUCUGACGGUACUGAGUGGAAAGGCCGUCACUCAACGGAUAAAAGUUACUCUAAGGAUAACAGGCUGAUCUCCCCCAAGAGUUCACAUCGACGGGGAGGUUUGGCACCUCGAUGUCGGCUCAUCGCAUCCUGGGGCGGUAGUACGUCCCAAGGGUUGGGCUGUUCGCCCAUGAAAGCGGUACGCGAGCUGGGUUCAGAACGUCGUGAGACAGUUCGGUCCAUAUCCGGUGUAGGCGUUAGAAUAUUGAGAGGAGCCUUCUUUAGUACGAGAGGACCGAGAAGGACAUACCUCUGGUGUACCAGUUAUCGUGCCAACGGUAAACGCUGGGUAGCUAUGUAUGGAGUGGAUAACCGCUGAAAGCAUCUAAGUGGGAAGCCCACCUCAAGAUAAGUAUUCUCAUC
rnacentral:rRNA from 1 species